rnacentral:rRNA from 1 species
GACGGAAGGUGCAAGCGUUGCUCGGAAUCACUGGGCGUAAAGGGUGCGUAGGCGGCCGUGCAAGUCUGGCGUGAAAGCCCCGGGCUCAGCCCGGGAAGUGCGCUCGAAACUGCGCGGCUCGAGUGCCGGAGGGGAGAGUGGAAUUCCUGGUGUAGCGGUGAAAUGCGUAGAUAUCGGGAGGAACACCGGUGGCGAAGGCGGUUCUCUGGGCCUUACCUGACGCUGAGGAGCGAAAGCGUGGGGAGCGAACAGG